rnacentral:rRNA from 1 species
CAGCCGCCGCGGGAAUACGAAGGGGGCUAGCGUUGCUCGGAAUGACUGGGCGUAAAGGGCGCGUAGGCGGAUUGUUUAGUUAGGCGUGAAAUUCCUGGGCUUAACCUGGGGACUGCGCUUAAUACAGGCAGUCUAGAGUGAGGAAGAGGGUUGUGGAAUUCCCAGUGUAGAGGUGAAAUUCGUAGAUAUUGGGAAGAACACCGGUGGCGAAGGCGGCAACCUGGUCCUUGACUGACGCUGAGGCGCGAAAGCGUGGGAGCAAACAGGAUUAGAUACCCCAGUAGUUCCUGUCUCUUAUACA